GUCUGGGAAACAUAUAUGCUUCUUGUUUUGGUUUGGUUUUGGUUUUGUUGUUUGUUCCAGACAGGGUCUUGCUUUGUCACCCAGGCUGGAGUGCAGUGUAGAAUCACUGCAGUCUCAACCUCCUAGGUUCAAGCGAUCCUCCCACCUCAGCCUUCUGAGUAGCUGGGACCACUCCUGCAAGCCACCGCACCUGCUAAUUUUUAAUUUUUUUGUAGAGACAGGGUCUCACUAUGUUGCCCAGGCUGGUCUUGGUCUCCUGAACUCAAACCAUCCUCCUGCCUUGGCCUCCCAAAGUGUUGGGAUUACAGGCAUGAGCCACCGCACCUGGCCUAUGUUUCUUUGUUUUUGAAAAUGUUGGUUUAACACUUUGUGAUGAAGCAACUUGAAGGAUUUGUCCUAAGCUGAGUGUAUCUCAAUGCUGGGCUUGAAUGUCUGUCAUGCGAAAAAGAGACUCCACCAGGCUCUGUGCUCAGGAUCCAGUAUUCACAUAUGGAUUUUCUUUUAAAGCCGCUUGUCUGUUUUGUGAGGACUGGUUUUGGAAAGCUGCUAAUAUGAUCUGUGAAGCGACUCACAGGGCACACACAACCUGAGGGGCAUGGCCAAAUUCCAUGCGAAGAAAGCGAAGGGCCCUGUCCCCGCGUGGCACUUGACCGUCUGCCAUCUGACCGAGAAUGGAUCAUGUGAGCAGCCAGUGACAAACCACAUAUUAAAUCUUGGAACAUGCCCAUUGUCCUUCCCUUCUUCCUCCUGCCUGACUCAUGGACACGAUGCUUGAUGGUCAAGGAGCUGUCUUGCCACCAUGAAGAUGAAAGCAACAAUCUAACGACGGUACCGGGAGCUAGGAGGAACCUGGGUCCCUAGAGCAGCUGCAGCAGCCUGGCCUGCCCACCUUUGAAUCCUGACCAUGUGGGAAAACAAAUCCCUGUUUGAAGCCUUUUUUUCCCCAGUGAAGAUGAUCUCUAAUUCCCUCACGUGUCUACAUCUCAGAGGAGGCAGUGUGAGCCCAACGGUUUGAUGCUGCAAAGGCUGACUGACAAUGAAGCUUCCCAUGACUUUCUCCCUCCCCGCUGGAAGGGCUGCAACUUCCAGUGGGCACCCAAGACUUCCAGAUAAGAGGCAACUGGCCUUCUCAGAUAACUCCUGACUCUUGGCAUCUACAUCCAGACAGCCUGAUGCCACAUUGUCUAUGUGGACCCCACGGAUAAGAAUGUUCAAGUUUUGGUCUUGAAAAAGAGAGAACAAAAAGGGAGGAAUGUGCCUUCAUUGGAAUGCUCACUAUGACCUGUCCAACAGAACACUCUGUUAGUGGUGGUAGUUCCCUGCAGGUCUGCAUCUACAGUGCUGUGACUUUGCCUGAGCUCCGUUGUACAACAUCUGCUUGUCUUUGCAGAAGAAAUUCUUGCCUUCUCAGGUGAAAAGAAUUCUAAUGAGGGUCAUAAGGCCGAAGGAGAGAUUGUUGUAAGUUUUAGAGCAGGAGUGAAAGUUUAUUAAGCUUUAGAGCAGGAACUAAAGGAAGGAAAGUACACUUGGAAGAGGGCCAAGCAGGCGACUUGAGAGACCAAGUGCACUGUUUAAACUCUUUUCUUUUUGAGACGGAGUCUCCCUCUGUCACCCAGGCUGGAGUACAGUGGCGUGAUCUCCGCUCACUGCAAGCUCUGCCUCCGUGGUUCAUGCUAUUCUCCUGCCUCAGCCUCCUGAGUAGCUGGGACUACAGGUGCCUGCCACCACGCCUGGCUAAUUUUUUUUUUUUUUGUAUUUUUUUAGUAGAGAUGGGGUUUCACUGUGUUAGCCAGGGUGGUCUCGAUCUCCUGACCUCGUGAUCCGCCCGCCUCGGCCUCCCAAAGUGCUCGGAUUACAGGCGUGAGCCACUGUGCCCGGCCUGUUUAAACUCUUGACUUGGGGUUUUAUGUGUUGGCAUGCUUCCAGGGUCUUAUGUUAUUUCUUCCCACUCCUGAGAUCUUAGCGAGAAGCUGCUGAUCACCAGUUUCUUUCUUUUCCUUUCCUUUCCUUUUCCUUAUCUUUCUUUUUUUUUUUUUUUUGGCAGGGUCUCACUCUGUCACCCAGCCUGGAGUGCAGUGGUGCCAUCUCGGCUCACUGUAACCUUGGCCUCCCAGGCUCAAGCAAUCCUCCCACCUCAGCCUCCCAAGUAGCUGGGAUUAUAGGUGUGUAUCACCAUUUCCGGCUAAUUUUUGUAUUUUUUGUAGAGACGGGAUUUCGGCAUGUUGCCCAGGCUGGUCUUGAACUCGUGGGCUCAAGUGAUCCAUCCACCUCAGCCUCCCAAAGUGCUGGGAUUAUAGGCGUGAGCCACCAGGCCCAGCCUUCAGGCAUUUUCUUUUCUUUUCUUUCUUUCUUUCUUUCUUUUUUUUUUUUUUUUUUUUUGAGACGGAAUCUCGCUCUGCUGCCCAGGCUGGAGUGUAGUGGCACCAUCUCAACUCACUGCAACCUCCACCUCCUGGGUUCAAGUGAUUCUUCUGCCUCAACCUCCCAAGUAACUGGGAUUAUAGUCAUCAGGCCCGGCCAAGCAUUUUCUAGUUAUUAGGAGACUGCCUUUCCCUGGCGGGGGCUGUGACCAAUUAUUACUUUAGAAAGACAGUUAACAAUUGCCUGACCAUCACCUGAUGGUCCGUGGACACUCCUGGUGUGUGUGUGAGGGCAGCCCUUUCCUGCCCUGCCCAUACCUCACUAGCUACCUACUGUAACAGCCCUGGUACCAGCAUAUCACCCAUGCCUUCUCUUGCAGACCCCCAGCUUAUAAGUUUCCCAGUAAAGCCUGUUCCUUUACCUACGAUGCUGUGAACUUGCCUGAGCUCCAUUGUACAACAUCUACUUUGAGCUGCUUUCCAGAUGAUGACUAUUCUUUUGCCUUCCAUGCUCUCACCAUUGUAAGCUCUCUGGGGACCAACAUACAGAAUGAAGCAGCAAUCUUUCUAAUUGGAAGAAGGCAAAUAAAACCAUGAUCUAUUUUCCAGUGGGAUGUCUUUAAAGCACUUAAAAAGCAUCAUUUGCAUUUGGUAUGAGACUUGAGAAAUAUGUAAUUUUCAUUUCUCCGUUCUUAUUUAUGGCACUAUCAGUUUAGUUGAUUUGUAAAAUUUAUCCUGGCAUUUUCUGCCCUACAUCUCUAUGGAAAUAUCCAGGUUUGCUGAACAUGCCUCUUUUCUAUGCAUUUGAUGGAGGCACUGAAGAAAAGAAGUUGCCCAUUGUGACAUCCACUUAUGUAGUCUUUUGUGCUUCAAAAUAAAUGCAUAAAGACCUUAUCAAUCACACAACAACACAGUGUCAUGAUUUCACAACUUCUUGUAAAAUGUUUGCAUAAACAAACUCUUUUAUAUUUGGCCUACUAAACUAAUUAAGAGAAAACAGCUGUCUAAAGUUACAUUAUGGAAAUCUCUGUUGUGCCAACAUGCAAAAAUCGUUAUUCUCUUGAAUAUGAUUAAGGCAUUGUGUUUGGAAGUAGCCUUGAGGGUUCAAUUUCUUUUUUUUUAAGAUGGGUUUUUGAGACUCUGUCGCCCAGGCUGGAGUGCAGUGACGUGAUCUUGGCUCACUGCAACCUCCGAAAGGGCUCAAGCCAUCCUCCCACUCAGUCUCUCAAGCAGCUGGGAAUACAGGCUCACGCCACCAUGCUCAGCUAGUUUUUGUAUUUUUUUUGUAGAGACAGGUUUUCACCAUGUCGCCCAGGCUGCUCUCCAACUCCUGAGCUCACACGGUCUUCCUGACUCAGCCUACCGAAGUGCUGGGAUUACAGGUGUGAGUCACUGUGCCCAGCAUAAAAUUUCUCAUUACACCUCAGUUUCAGGUACAG
rnacentral:lncRNA from 1 species